rnacentral:rRNA from 1 species
UACGUAGGGGGCUAGCGUUGUCCGGAAUCAUUGGGCGUAAAGAGCGUGUAGGCGGCCCGGUAAGUCCGCUGUGAAAGUCAAGGGCUCAACCCUUGAAUGCCGGCCGAUACUGUCAGGCUAGAGUCCGGAAGAGGCGAGUGGAAUUCCUGGUGUAGCGGUGAAAUGCGCAGAUAUCAGGAGGAACACCUAUGGCGAAGGCAGCUCGCUGGGACGGUACUGACGCUGAGACGCGAAAGCGUGGGGAGCGAACAGG